rnacentral:rRNA from 1 species
AUUGAACGCUGGCGGCAGGCCUAACACAUGCAAGUCGAACGAGUGGCGGACGGGUGAGUAAUGUCUGGGAAACUGCCUGAUGGAGGGGGAUAACUACUGGAAACGGUAGCUAAUACCGCAUACACUCGGAUGUGCCCAGAUGGGAGUAGCUAGUAGGUGGGGUAAAGGCUCACCUAGGCGAAGAUCCCUAGCUGUGCUGAGAGGAUGACCAGCCACACUGGAACUGAUACACGGUCAAGACUCUUACGGGAGGCAGCAGUGGUGAAUAUUGCACAAUGGGCGCAAGCCUGAUGCAGCCAUGCCGCGUGUAUGAAUAAGGCUUUCGGGUUGUAAAGUACUUUCAGCGGGGAGGCGUUACCCGCAGAAGAAGCACCGGCUAACUCCGUGCCAGCAGCCGCGGUAAUUC